AGGGCAGGGCGCCCUGGAAUGGG
rnacentral:piRNA from 1 species